UUGCCUGUGCAGCAUAUAUAGUAAAACUAGAAUGAUACAGAGAAAAUUAGCAUGGCCUAUGUGCAAGUCCCUGAAUCAUUCCACAUAUUU
ensembl:snRNA U6 U6 spliceosomal RNA